UACGGAGGGUGCGAGCGUUAAUCGGAAUUACUGGGCGUAAAGCGUGCGCAGGCGGUUUGUUAAGACAGAUGUGAAAUCCCCGGGCUUAACCUGGGAACUGCAUUUGUGACUGGCAAGCUAGAGUAUGGCAGAGGGGGGUAGAAUUCCACGUGUAGCAGUGAAAUGCGUAGAGAUGUGGAGGAAUACCGAUGGCGAAGGCAGCCCCCUGGGCCAAUACUGACGCUCAUGCACGAAAGCGUGGGGAGCAAACAGG
rnacentral:rRNA from 1 species